AACGAACGCUGGCGGCAUGCCUAACACAUGCAAGUCGAACGAGACCUUCGGGUCUAGUGGCGCACGGGUGCGUAACGCGUGGGAACCUGCCCUUAGGUUCGGAAUAACUCCCCGAAAGGGGUGCUAAUACCGGAUAAUGUCCUCGGACCAAAGAUUUGUCGCCUUUGGAUGGGCACGCGUUGGAUUAGCUUGUUGGUAGGGUAAAAGCCUACCACGGCGACGAUCCAUAGCUGGUCUGAGAGGAUGAUCAGCGACACUGGGACGGAGACACGGCCCGGACUCUUACGGGAGGCGGCAGAGGGGAAUAUUGGACUAUGGGCGAAAGGCUGAUCCAGCUAUGCCGCGUGAGUGAUGAAGGCCUUAGGGUUGUAAAGCUCUUUUACCCGGGAUGAUAAUGACAGUACCGGGAGAAUAAGCACCGGCUAACUCCGUG
rnacentral:rRNA from 1 species